rnacentral:lncRNA from 1 species
UCCAGAGUUUGGCUUGAGGCAUCAUUUUGCAGCUGAAAGGAAAUGGGCUCUUUGUCUUCAGGUAAUUUUGGUUUGAAAUUCAUCUUGCUAUAAUUGCAUUCGAAAUGCUUAGAUUCUCCUCAUUCAUGAUAUUUGAUAGUCUCGAGCUCAUCCACGAGAAAUCAUAACAACUGAAGUGCUUAAAGCUUUGCAAGAGCUGAAUGUUUGCUGGAAGAAGAUUGAGCACUAUAACAUGAAGUGCAGGUGGAGUCAGACUUUGUUGAGAACAUGAUGCAUAACCAAAGCAUCGGCAGCACCUGCGAGAGGAGGCUACCACUGCUUCCACUGUAUGGAACCAAUGUGUAUGUUGCCUCCUCUUUCUCCUUUCAUUACUACAUGCGAUUUUUAUUAGCUGAUUCGUGGCUUGAUUUUCAUUUGUAGAUUCAAACUACUCUCCUGUGAGGAUUUGUUCUGCUAUACAAUUUUCUUUCAUUUCCCAUCCAGGUUGUGUUCAAAUGAUAGGUGGCAUUGCAAAUUAUGACCAGUUUAAAUGUUGUUUAGUGAGGUAUGGUUUGCUCAUUAGCUUUUAUUGCUCAUUUCAUUUACCCGUUCAUUCCUGGCGGUUACCAUCUUAUACCCAAUAUAGAUUUGUAACAGAUUAGGUUUUGUUUGAACAUGAUUUUAUUUUUACAGUGGUACAUUAUAUGCAACAUUUGGGUUAAGCUUCUCAAAUGGCUAGCAUCAAUUAGGCUUGACCACCAAACUGAAACCAAAGAAUAUAAAAAGUUCAGUUAAGCAUCCAAAGCUUGCAGAGGGAUUUUUUUUAAGCAGUACACUAUAUAGUUAGCCAAGGGAAACUUCUAUUUUUGCUGCUUCCUGUUCCUGAAUUUUAUGUAUGAAAUCACUUGAGUGUGUUGUUUGCCCAUCGCUGAACCAACAGGAGCCUGUUGCCAUGUGUUUUUUAACUAAUCAGACUACUUGGAGACCAAUCUGCUAAAAGUGGUCUAACUAAGAAAAUGCUUUCUUCUAUCUGUACUAGAAACCGACAAUGACAACACCAUUUCUACAUAAUUGAACCAAGUGACUAAAAAAUUAUAAUGCAUGGUACAACUUUACCUGAGGAUUAUUUCUAUAGACGAAGAACACAGUUGCAUCUUUGCCUUCUAAAUUUUUAGUUAUUUUAAAAGAUAACUUAAUAAUAGAUGGAUAAAUGAGCUUGGCUUUCAAACCUGCGAGGUUUAGUAUUUCCUGUUGAAUUUACUUCUGUGUUUUGCCAGACUCCAUCCGCCAAUUGGAUAUAAGCUGAGGAAAGUUUCAUAUUUUACCUUGGAGCAUCUCUGAUUGAACACUAUUGACAUCUAAUUAGGUAGUCUGUACUUCGGAGGAGCUCGCUACUUCAAUUCUUUAUAUUAUUUAAUUAAUUGGGUGUGACAAUAUGUUGUACAUUAUAGACAUUUGCCACUUACACCAGAGACUCUUCCUUCUAACCUACUCAUCUCUACCUAUAUACAGCUAACUACAAUUUUGGUAUUGGGGAUAAUUACUGGAGUAACAGAUGCUUGAUUCCUCUUUGUACAAUUGUGUGUUCUUAGUAUAGAUGUAUGUUCGUAGUGUAGAAUAUACCUUCGUCUAGAAGAGGUCACAUUUUCUUCAUUCUAAUAAUCAUUCAUUGGACAUUGGUGUUCGUUAGUCGAUUAUUGUCUAAAUAAUUUUGCAAAAUCAGUAUGAUGAUGCAUGACUUCAGUCAGAAAUUUUUAUGACGCUGAUUUUUUUGGAAAUGUAAUGCCUAAAAUGCACUGUUCUGAAUUUGUUCACGAUAAUGGUUGUUGUUAAUAUUUUUUCAGUGCCUAACCACAAAAUCAUCGGCACACUUUAGGAUACCAGUUGUAUUUUGUAUCUUUGAGUGGCUAAUUUCAAAUUGAAACUGAGAUUGCUUACUGCUUACAGGCUGCUUACUGCUUACAAGAUUGAAAUUUGAACAUUUGUAGCUUCUAAAUGUAUUGUAGCACAUUUGGAUUAAUUCCUGAACAUAAACAAACAUGAUGAUCCAGAUCUAAUGAAAAUUCUGAAUGCAACUGGAAAACAUUUGUUUGUGCAAUGACCGUAUAAAUAAAACCAAAGUGCGGCUGAGUUGACGUUGAUAGACUUGUGCGUGCUCUGCCACUCGUAACCUUUUUUUUCUCCCAUCGAUCAUGUUCUAUCUCCAGUGCUCAUGUCUGAUGGUCAUUCCUAAUAGUAUGCUUAUUCUUUCAGGUUUAAGCUGCUUUCAGGUUUACCAAGCAUUCUCUACUGUAGUAUUUGGUCCUUCUCCCCUCCUCUUCUUAGUGCUUGCAUUUGAUGAAGCAAAACAUGCAUAUCUCAUCAGUGCUUGCUUGACUCUGGGCUGGAUCUCAGCGGCAUUUGCUCAACCUGCAGCUGUCUCUUGAUAUCCUUUUUGCGGUUUAGUAUUACAGUGAACCGACUCAUCAGCGUCGCAUGGGUACUUGGUGUCACGUCCACCCGCCGAGUUGACGAGUCAUAUAUUGCUUUCCAAAUUGUUCUUAUUCCUGUGACUCAUAAGUCGUAAUGCAAAAAUAAUAUGCGUCCAAGGAAGCAGGCCAGGAUAUAUAUUGCUUUCCCUAUAUAAAGUAUACUUCCUUAGUCCUCUCUGUUAACACCGAGUUUUUUUGUGUGUGGCUAUUAGCCAGGUAGCAGGCCAGAAUCUUACUCAUUGUUAUAUGAAUUAAAUAUGGAUUGUGUCAUGCCCACAGUACGAUAUGUAGGGCAAAAGAUCGGCCUAUUAGGUCAUUGUACUCUUCUUAGUUGGGUUGUGAACACCUCAGCUAUACUUGAUGUGUAGAGGCAUAUUCUUGCUAUAAUCUGUUCUGACUGCCAUGCUUCUUAGUUUCCAAUAUAUUAGUCCAACAAAUGAUGUUGCUUCCUAAUUUUUUGUAAUUACAAUAUGCUCUGAUAGACAUUUUAUAUGUUUCUCUAAUUCUUUGGUCUGGUUUCGAGCUCAGAUGUAUUUAAGGUUGUCUUGCAACAAUGCAUCUUUAGGGACCUGAAGUUCAUUAUUAAGAGAAGCUGAUGCUUGUGCGGAUUGUUGAAUCAAUCAAGAUGGAAUGCAAUAGAGUCUCAUUGGUACCAUUGCCGAUGACCACGAUGCAGACAUUCACUCUAUUAUCUGAGAUUUUUUUUGCUCAUCCCCUAUGGUAGAUGAUAGUUCAAGCUGUGAAUUAAUCCACUAUACAUAUUUUCAUCUUUUGUUGUGUUUUAGCAUAACCGUUGUCUGAUUUGAGUUUUUGUAAGCCUGCUGAAGUCCUAUUGAUUGUGUUCCUGCAACUCAGUUUUCAUCAAAGGGGUGUCUUCUGAAAAUUAAGAGAAUAACUAAUUGUAUAUGCUAUUUAUUUGUGUACUUUUUGUGAGAUUCAGAUGAUGCACACUUGAAUUAUAAUUGAAUCAUGUGUCCUCGGCUAUUGAGGCCUAAUGAAAACUUUUUAUUGUAUUAUUGGUUAAUUUGCUUCUUUUAAGAAGG